CCACUCCUCGAUCUGCACGAUGGGGACGAUCUACAGGAUGCGACCCAGCUGCAGGAGCCAGGAGAGAUGCUCAGACGAUCGCCGGACAGAGAAAAUAAGCAGCGGCCUCUCCUCAGAGAAGGUGGUCGGACCUCUUCCUCCUCAACCGCUAUGGUCGUCCACAAAGAUGAAAUAUGUAGCAGCAGAAGCAGAGAGAAGGAAGAGAAUAGCUUCUGAGGAAGAUUCGAGUCUACAGGAAUUUGAUCAGUGUGUUGAGUACCACUCAAUUGAGAAGCAGAAAAGGUUAAUCGUCUUGAUAGAGGCGAGGGUCCCGAUCUUUCGAUGAGAUGAUAACUAUCGAUUUGGUGGAGACGACUUUGACGA